rnacentral:rRNA from 1 species
CACAGGCGCGAAACCUUUACACUGCACGCCAGYGGAAUUAAGGGGACCCCGAGUGCGAGGACAUACUAGUCCUCGCUUUUCUGUACCGUAGGAGGUACAGGAACAAGAGCUGGGCAAGACCGGUGCCAGCCGCCGCGGUAAUACCGGCAGCUCGAGUGAUGGCCGCUGUUAUUGGGCCUAAAGCGUCCGUAGCUGGCCACGCAAGUCCGUCGGGAAAUCCAUCGGCUCAACCGAUGGGCGUCCGGCGGAAACUGCGUGGCCUGGGACCGGAAGGCUCGAGGGGUACGUCCGGGGUAGGAGUGAAAUCCCGUAAUCCUGGACGGACCACCGAUGGCGAAAGCACCUCGAGAAGACGGAUCCGACAGUGAGGGACGAAAGCUGGGGUCUCGAACCGGAUUAGAUACCCGGGUAGUCCCAGCGUAACGAUGCCAGUUAGUGUGGCACAGGCUACGAGCCUGUGCUGUGCCGUAGGAAGCCGUGAACUGCCGCCUGGAAGUACGUCCGCAAGAUGAAACUUAAAGGAAUUGGCGGGGAGCACUACAACCGGAGGAGCUGCGGUUUAAUUGGACUCAACGCCGGACAUUUCACCAGCUCCGACUACAGUGAUGACGGUCAGGUUGAUGACCUCGCCACGACGCUGUAGAGAGGAGGUGCAUGGCCGCCGUCAGCUCGUACCGUGAGGCGUCCUGUUAAGUCAGGCAACGAGCGAGACCCGCACGCUUAAUUGCCAGCAUCAGGUUUCCUGGAUGGGUACAUUAAGCGGACUGCCGCUGCUAAAGCGGAGGAAGGAACGGGCAACGGUAGGUCAGUAUGCCCCGAAUGAGCUGGGCUACACGCGGGCUACAAUGGCCAAGACAAUGGGUUCCAACCUCGAAAGAGGACGGUAAUCUCCGAAACUUGGUCGUAGUUCGGAUUGUGGGCUGAAACUCGCCCACAUGAAGCUGGAUUCGGUAGUAAUCGCGUUUCAGCAGAGCGCGGUGAAUACGUCCCU